GUCAUUUUGGUAUUAUUUUCACAGUGAAUGAUCGAUAUAACUUUGUGGAGGUUGUGGAAGCAGGGUUAUUUUGAGUGGAGUGAUUUUAUUCAAGUUUUCUAGUUUUUUAAGAAAGUGGUGCGGACAGAGGUAUUUCUAGAAUAACUUAUAAAGCAAAAGGUCUCGAAAGACAACCCAAUAGACCUCCUCAGCAGCAGGAUUGACUUCGAGCUGAUUGGUUAGCCCCCUUCCUGCGAGUAGCCAAAGUUUGGAGGAAAAUGCUGAUAAAUGAAUUUGAAUUAUGGAUAGAAGUAAACUGGAUCUAUUAUAGUAAACGAUGAAGAGUAUUUGUAUAAACAUAUUGUACAUGUUUGAAUGCAUUUGAUUUUGUGGAAUUAAUUUAUAGUACUA
rnacentral:misc_RNA from 1 species